UACGAAGGGGGCUAGCGUUGCUCGGAAUCACUGGGCGUAAAGGGUGCGUAGGCGGGUCUUUAAGUCAGGGGUGAAAUCCUGGAGCUCAACUCCAGAACUGCCUUUGAUACUGAAGAUCUUGAGUUCGGGAGAGGUGAGUGGAACUGGUCGAGUGGUAGAGGUGAAAUUCGUAGAUAUUCGCAAGAACGACCAGUGGCGAAGGCGGCUCACUGGCCCCGAUACUGACGCUGAGGCA
rnacentral:rRNA from 1 species